rnacentral:rRNA from 1 species
AUGGCCUCCACGGCGGCGGCGGCAGCGGCGGCGCCGGUGGUGAUGGUGACGAACGACGACGGCAUCGACGCGCCGGGGCUCCGCUUCCUCGUCGACCAGCUCGUCGCCCAGGGGCGCUACCGCGUCCUCGUCUGCGCGCCCGACACAGACAGGUCGGGCGUUAGCCACUGCAUUACAUGGCGUUCUGCACUUCGCUGUAAACAUGUCAAUAUCAAUGGUGCUACAGCAUUUGGAGUUUCAGGAACUCCCGCUGACUGUGCCUCUUUGGGCAUCUCUGGGAAGCUCUUUGAUGGUUUGGUUCCUGAUUUGGUGCUUAGCGGAAUCAACAUUGGCAAUAAUUGUGGAUUACAUGUUGUAUAUUCUGGAACAGUUGCUGGUGCUAGGGAGGCAUUUAUAUAUGGGAUUCCUGCAUUAUCUAUGUCAUACAAUUGGGUUGCUGGUCAGAGCAGUGUUAAUGACCUCAAAGUGGCUGCAGAGGUUUGUAUCCCUCUGAUAAAUGCUGUCAUGCUCGAGAUCAAGAGUGGAACCUACCCUAAAGGAUCAUUCCUGAAUAUAGAUGUGCCAUCUGAUGCUGCACACCACAAGGGAUACAAAAUUACAAAGCAAGGAAAAUAUAUGGCCAGAAUUGGAUGGGAGCAAACAGUCUACCAAAAGCCUUCCGUAGAAAGUUACCAGACGGCAAGCAUGGUUAUUGACGGUGAAAAGGACAGAGAUAUAGACACUUCAUCGGCGAAUGACCUACUGUUUAAAAGAGUGAUAGUAAAGAGAAGUUAUGAUGAAGAGGAAGGGGAGGACAUGGACUACAAAUCCCUUGCAGAUGGAUAUAUUACUGUUACUCCUUUGGGUGCUCUCUCCCGCGCAGAAGCAGAUGUCAUACCCUACUACAAGGCUUGCUUGUCUCGCAUUUGA